CAGUAUCACUGUCUCAUAUUGGGGAUCCAGCCAGAAAACGUUUAUAAAAAUCCAAUGCCUCUUGUGGUUUGUAUUCUGGAACAGUAUGUCCAGCUCCCUGUACCAAUGCAAUCAAAUAAAUAUUUUCAGGGCUUGAACCAGGUACAUCCGAAGCUAAGACUUGUUUUUUCACAGAUUAAACCAACUCCUUGGAAUUCUUAACUAGUAUUAUCUUUGGUUUUCAUAUUCUAUUUAUUUUUUCAUGAUUUGUUUUCCAAUUUAAUCAGGAUUCAUUAAUAAGAAACCGGUAUUAGUAUUAAAAAAAGUCAACAAUUAGCAUAAAUAAGAGCUAAUGCUAAUCUUUUAUAAUUGGAAAAUGCUAGAUAUCAAGAAUGAUUUUAUAAGAAAGAUCCAAGAAUGACAUAGCACAAUAAUCACCUUUAGAUUUCAGUCUCAUUUAUUAAUCUUUCAUAAAAAAAAAUACAUAACACCCACUACCCCAUGAUUUCCGGCCAGGAUGAGAUUUUAUUGGCUAACAUUAAUUUCAAGACUAUUUCUUGAUAAAAUUUAAGGGUGAUUAUUCUGCCAUGUCAUUCUUGAAAUUUUUUUGAUAAAAUCUUUCUUGAUAUAUAGCAUUGCUCUUUAUAAUUAAGCAUGGUCCUAAUUCAAAGUCUUUAUACUUUCUCUGUCUCCUCCUUAGCUCCUUUUAAUUCUUAUGCUCUCAAAUGCCGUAAUCCACACACACACACGCAAUACAUACCUUUAUGGUCAGAAAAGUAAGAUUAUGGUCAUAUCCUUGAGUAUACCUGCAGCAAAUAAAAGUAAUUAACUCAAUUUCUAACCAAGAUUGGUAUUUUAUACUAAAUAUACAUUGUGAAAAAAGUUUACAGAAAUGAUACUUGGACCCACAAAUAUGACAACAACAAUUUGGAUGGUUAACUUAACACCGUCUAGAUAUGUGGUUAAUUACGUUUAGUGCAUGGCUGAUUAGCAUAGUGUCAAAACUCAUUAAUUAUCCGCUGAAUGUAAUUAACCAUGAUAUUUACAUGUUCAAAUAUAAAUGAAAUCUAUUAUAACCAUCCAAAGUAUGUUUUAUACAUGAUUUUCAGGUUUUUUAAAUAUAUGAUAUUGAUUAAUCACAAUUUGUGUUCAAAUAUACAUCUGAAAAUCAUGAGUGAUAACAUUGCGCCAUUGGGCAAUGGUUGAACCAUGAAAAAUAACGACUGUGAAAAAUGCAUCCAAAAGCAGAACCCUGUCAGCCGCAAUGGCUGCGACAUCGAGAAGAGCAGGCUCAGGACCAGAAUGGAAUGAAUAAAUCAAUGAAGGCUGAACCAUGACGACAGAGUUAGUAACAUUUUCCCGGUUUAAAAUCAUUCUAGAGUAAGCAGUCUCGUCUGGGCUGUUGUUGAAGACCUACAAUUAUAUAAUUAAUGGAAAAAAUAAAUACUCUGCAAGUAGAAAUAUAGCAGCACGAAAUAUCAACAAUGAAAAACUUUAUAAGAGGUCUGAAAACACAAAACGAAUACCUGAACAAACUGAGAACGUCGUAAGUGAAACAUAAAUUGUGGGAAUAUUGACAACCUGGGAGACAAACUAAAUGAAGAUGGGGUUUCUUUUUGAAAAUCUCCGAGACAGGAACACAAAUUUAUCAAUGCCUUGUCCAACCAUCUGAUAGGAUCAAAUUCAGCCUGAUACAGAAAUUGCACCAUCACAGGGUGUCAAAACAACGACAUUUUUCAUAAGCAGGCACAAAAAACAUAUCAAGCUAUUCAGUGAGAGAGAAAAGCAGGUCCACAGUUCUCACAACUAUGGAUGUGUCAUAAACAAACUGGCAAAGAAUACUUCUGUGUCAAUGUACUAGUCAACAAUUCAACAAUAUAAUACAAAAGUGUAAUCUGUAAUGGGUUCUGAUUCACUGAAUUCCAUUAUUCAUGUUCCACUGGAAUAAUCAAUUUACAGAAGAAUAAUCCAUAAUAAUCCAAGUAAGAGAAAUGGUGCAGAAAAAGUGUGUGUGUGUGUGUGUGAGUGUGCGCGCGCAAGCGUGCGUGUGUGUGUGUGUGUAGAGAGAGAGCCUUUUUAAAAUUAUUCUUAACUGGUGUAUGAAAAUAAACUUCUGCAAGAGAAACAAAAACCAAUGACUUGGAUUAUAUACAGCUAAAUACAUGUCGAACAGGCUAAGAUACAAUUAUCCAAAAUACAAUUAAAAAGAAGCAGAAAAUAUCCAGCACUCACCUCCGUUUCCAUUUGUGAAAGACACUUGGCGUGCCAUGACUAUAGCAGCUGCUUCUUGGUCAAAUCCAGAAAUCAAAUCCUACAAAAUUUUACAUAUAACUGAUAUAAAACAUUGAUGAAUUCCAGAAAAUGAAUUUAAUGAUGAAUUUAUUAAAAACAAGUGGGAAAAAAAUUGUAAUUACAGUAAUGAAUAGAGUGAUCAUGUUACUAGAUAAAUCAUAUCAUACUAUCGUUAACUAAUUGUAAAAGUUAAUGAACAUAAAACUAGCAUUGGUCAUUAUCCAAACACAAUAAACAUAAAACUCCAAUUCAACAAAGAAAUGAGUAAAAUAAAAAGGGCAAUUAAAGAAAAAUUGUGUAUAAAUAACCCAAAAUAAGCUCAAAAUGAUGUCUCUAUCAAUUUUCCUGAACUACUGAUAAAUAUGCAAUUGAAUAAAAAGGGCAAUUAAGGUGGCUGUUGAUAUCAUUAUUAUUUGCUUUUUAUCCUACUAUGUUAACAGGAAAUAGUCCUUCAGUAAUUAGAAAUAGAAUCCUACUAUAAUGGUUGUCGACUAUGAAGCACGGAUACGGACACGGACACCGGACACGACAUGGACACGACACGCCGACACAGCUAAUUUUUUUAGAAAAUCACAAAAUGCAGUGUAAUUAUAUGUGUCGGUGUCGUGUCGGUGUCAGACACGACACAUGUCUGACACGGGGACACGCCUUAUCCAAGGAGUGUCCGUGCUUCAUAGGUUGUCGACUACUCACCGUGUAUAUACCAUUUAACUGGUUUCAUGUUCUAGACCACCUUCGACAAUGUUUAAAAUUACGUCUGAUCAACUCCAAAAUCAUCUUAUAGUCUGCCGUCUAUCUUUUUUCCUCAUUCCUUAACCCUAAAAUCUGGUACACAAAUGUAACUGGUACUGCUCACCGAAUAUAAAUGAGUCGUAUCUUAUCUAACAAUAAUAAAUUUGUGCAUACAAUAGAUUGUCCCCAUUAAUCAGGUGAGAAUUGUUUGGUAAAAUUAGCUCUUGAAGUGACUAUAGAUAUAAAAUGACAUAAAAGGACAUACUUGUUUAAUUUUUUUUAAUAUCAUAUAUAUAUUUUUAUUACUUAACACAUUUAUUUUUAAAUAUUUAAAUAUAUUUUAAAUUAUUUUCAUCUCCAAAAUAAUAAAUGUAUUUAUGAAUUCAAUCGAAUUUUCUUAUUUGACAAUUUUUAUUUUAUUUUUAUGAAUUUUAUUUAACUAAAUUUGCUUCACUAUUAUAAAUUUUAUAUAAAAUUAUAUAUUAUACGAAUUAUGAGCAAAGUAAAAAAAAACAAAAAAGUGGACAAGAAAAUUUAAAAAGCCAUGCAUGGUAAACAUGGUUAGUUCAAGAAGAUAGUGAGUAGUUUUUUUUUAUUAUAAUAAAAUAAAAUAUAAUUAAGAAAAGGUUAAAAUGGGAAGAAAGUAUAAAAAGCUAGAAGCUAUAAGCUAAAAAGCUACUUAGAUUAGCUUCUUAAAAAACGCUAUAAGCUAGUGAGAAAAGCUUUUUACCAAACACAUCUCAUUUUAUCAAAACAAGCUUAUAAGCUAGUCCAACAAGCUAUAAGCUAGCUUUUUUGUGUUACCAAACACAGCCUAAGUUGGGGCAAUGUAUUUAGUGGUGCAAACUAAGGCUCCGUUUGAUAAAAAUAAGCUAGAAGCUAGCUGAUAGCUUAUAGCUGAAAAGCUUGCUUAUUAAAAAUAAUGUGUUUGGUAAAAUUAGCUGUUGAAGUGACUGAUAAGUAUAAAAUAACAUAAAAGGACAUUUUUUUUUUUAAUAUACAUAUAGACACACACAUUUUUUUGUAAUGUAUUUAUUUUUUAAUAUUUUUAAUUAUAGUUAAAUAUGUUUUUGGUCCUAUAAAUAUUCAAACUUUUGGUCUUAANAACAGUUGAGUUUGGUGAGUUCCUCAAGGAUCCUGAUAAAUUCUUCAUGAAGAUGUUUCCUGAUAGGUUUGAGAUGAGUCUUGGUUUGACAUUGGUAGAUUUUCUAUCAAAAAACAGUUAUGAUGAAGUGUACUUGUUGAGAUGUCAACCAUCACAUGGUUGGAUAGACAAUGAAAUUGUUCUCAACAGAUUUGCUGAGUUCAAAGAAGAACUUAAGGAGAUUCAGAUAAGGGUUUUUGCAAAGAAACAAAGAUCCAAAGCUUAAGAAUAGGCGCGGCCUUGCAAAAAUUGAUCACAAUAUUUUGUAUCCUAAGAUGCCUAGUUCUGGAUCAAGAAGAUGGAAUCAUGGGAAGAGGAGUGUCUUAUAACAUAUCAAGUUAAUUUGUUCAUAGAAUUUGUGUUCACUAACUCUGCAUGCCAUUAGUAAUAUGUAAUCUCUCACUCUCUUUUCUUAUUUUUGUCUUUAACUCUCCUUUCCUCGGACAAGAGAGCCAUGAUAGUUUGGAGUCCGCCCAAAAAGUAAGUAAACUUUGGCCAAUGAUUAAUCCAGCCAGUAUUCGUACUUGAAUUCUCCCUGAGCGAUUGUAGUUAUAUGUAUGUGUUAAACUCUAACUCUUAACAAAUAGUUCUAACCAUCAUGGAAAAAUUUAUCAAAAAUCCAAUUUUCAAAACACCACAUAUGUGAUAAAAUUGAACAAUAUCCUAAAACAAUAUAUUCAAUUAGUAUAUUAUUAAGAUAAUCAUGCGACAAACCAUCUAAAACAAUGCAUGGUUGUUAACUAUUCAAAAUGUAAUGCCUAAUGAUAGAACCAACAACUGUCACUAUCAAAUUUAAGCUUAUUUUUGCACUGGCCUAAAUUUUUGUUUUGGUUAAAUACCGUAGACAGAUUUGCAUUUGGUCAUUUACUGUGCCAUGCAGUUUUACAUCUCAACCGUCCAAUCUCAAAUUAUCGAUCGAGAUUUAUUUAAGAUGAUUUGUUAUUGUAUAUUCUGAACCGUCCAAUCUCAAAUCGAUGAAAAAAAGUCUAUUAAUCUAAUUGCCAUAACCUUACUUCAAACAUGAAAAUUUGGAAACAUUUAAAUCUAGCAGUAAUAUAAUGUCAACAUAUACAUAUACCCACAAAUCAUCUAUAUAGUUCAUGGAAUAUCCAUAGCAGUAUCACUGUCUCUCAUAUUGGGGAUCCAGCCAGAAAACGUUUAUAAAAAUCCAAUGCCUCUUGUGGUUUGUAUUCUGGAACAGUAUGUCCAGCUCCCUGUACCAAUGCAAUCAAAUAAAUAUUUUCAGGGCUUGAACCAGGUACAUCCGAAGCUAAGACUUGUUUUUUCACAGAUUAAACCAACUCCUUGGAAUUCUUAACUAGUAUUAUCUUUGGUUUUCAUAUUCUAUUUAUUUUUUCAUGAUUUGUUUUCCAAUUUAAUCAGGAUUCAUUAAUAAGAAACC
rnacentral:lncRNA from 1 species